CGGGGAGGAGUCUGGCCUCUUCAGCUCCUGUGUGGUGGCCUGAUAUUCAGUCUGUGAGCUGGGAGCCUGUUGGCAGGUCCCUCUUUUUAUUUUCGCUGAGAGCUUUCUUUUACUAAAUGCCACCAUCCUUACCUUUCAAGGUGUCUGCGUGCCUAAUUUUUCCUGGUUGUUAGACAAGAACCCGGAUUUUAGUUGAACUCUGGAGCAAAAAUCCUGCAUCAUUUGUAGGUGUCUGAGUAGAUUUGGAAAUGCCCAUUCAGCCCUCAGAGCUCCUCUGCUUUAAGGGUGAUGGACUUCCUGUACCACUACGUAGUGCAUGAGUGCCAGCCACUGGUAUCUAGAACUGUGAUUAGUGAGGAAACACUAGGAGGAACAAACAACCCAACUCUUUUUAUCUAAUCUGUUGACUCCAAAGGGACCUUCUGCUUAUUCCAGUUAAAACUCAAGCUGCAAUUCAAAAUGAAAUCAGUAUCUUUUUUCUCUACUUUUCAGCAAAGCAAGAUGCUACCUUAUAAUUACCACGUAACAAUCAAUCGCAAACAUAGUGGCUUAAAGCAGCUCCUCUUUUAGCCUACAUAUCUGCAAACUGGCAGUCUGGACUGAGCUCAGCUGGAUGUUUUUUCUGAGCUGAUCAUGUAUGUAGGGUCUGCUGCUGGCUGGUUUAGACUGAUGGUGGAUGAGAAACCACAUGAAGAAGAGAGGCAUGAUGGUGGCAGAGUUCUGAAAGAGUCACACAGAAGGGCGUUGAGUUCGUGGCUUGAAAAUAGCAUCCUGUCACUUCUACCACAUUCUAUUUACCAGGCCAGCCCAGAUAAAGAUGUGAAGAAACAGACUCCAUCUCUUGAUGGGAGAAGUUGAAAAUCAAUGGAAAAUGGCAUGGAUAAGGAAAGGAGUGAUGAUUGUGGCCAUAUUUGUAAUGGCCAUAUUUGAUACCCUUUUCAGUUUUCCUAGCCACACUUCUCAUUGGCCAGGAAAAUUAAAUGCAUGUCAACACUGAAGAAAACAGAUCUUGGUUAAAAGCAAUGAUGUAGCUAAUAUCCCGUUCAGGUAAAAGAUUACUUAUAUAGUGUGAGACAGGCAUGAGGCAGAGAAGUGCUUACAGGUUGGUUUCUGCUUUGUUAGCAGAUUUACUUUUAGAUCAUAUACUACUUUGUUUUUACUGUUUUAUUGAGAAAAAAUAACAAAUAUUUCCAAAAUUUUGCAGCAUGCAACUCAGUGCUUCAGUUGGCAUUCAAUCAAAAUUUCCUUGAAAUAAAAAAAGACAAGAGAGAGACUUGGAAUUAUGACUCUUCUACUAGAUUAGCUCCUUCAUGUCAAAAUCUGUCAAGUUUAUGAUUUAUUCAGAUAGCACUUGUUUUUGGUGUAAUAACUAAACUGUUGCUUUAGAGUCUACUACAUUCUCCUCUAUUAUUUGGCAUUUUUCUCUUUAUUAUUUUGUUCAAGUAGGAUAUUGUGCUGAGUUGAACCAUGAAAUGAAUUGUAUUGAGCAACAUCAACAACAUAAAUAUUCUGGGGUGUCAUCUGCAUUUUCAUAUCUGGCUGCUCAAAUUCUUUUUACAGCUAUAGCUUUGAUAAUAAUGUAAUAGCAUAAUGUUUUUCAUUAGAUAUCAAAUCAUAGAAGACAACAAAGAUGUGUUAAGUUAGCAUAGUUUAAUAUAAGGAAACAACAGCAUCAGUAAAAGCAUUGAGCACUAAAUAUCUCUUCCAUUUCAGUUCUUUUACAGGAAGCUUUUGUUACGUGUUGUCAGCACAUUGCUGUGAUGCUCAAGUAUAGCUCUUUAAUGUGAAAACCUGGUAUUUGGGCAUGGCUUGAAGCAGGUGGGUGUCAUUGUGACUGGCUGCUACCUCCCCAUGAGUCUUCUAAAAUAAAACCUGCAAAUUCACAUCUUCCCCAUGCUUCCAGAGAAUGCAUAUUCUUCCUUUGAAAAAAGAAAACCAGGUAGUCGUACAGUGUCCAGAAGGCAAAAGGACAAGUAUGCACUGCCCUACUUACCUACUUUCCACACUGCUGCACAGGAAAAUCUGACAGAGGACAAUAACAAACAUCUCACCAGCUCAUGCGUUCUUUUUUGAUCCUAAUUCCGAGAGACUCACCAAAGACAUGAAGAGAAAACAAACAAUACUUUUCUUGGAAAUAUUGUAAUUGCUGGUACAUUUGUUGUUCUGGCAUAAAGUAGAAAUUGUCAGGUAAACAUUGCUUCCUUUUGGAUCAAAAAGAAAUUUAACCAAAUAAAUGCAAGAGGUAUGAGGGAAGAUAAUGGGAAAUAAAUGAGAUUUGAGAAAUCAGUGGAGGUUCAAGUGGUUUUUUUUUUCUUUUGUAGUUGAUAAUACUCUGUUUUAAAUCAGUGAGUUUUACUUAUAUAUGCUUGUCCUUUUUUUUUUCUAGUUACCAGAACAAUACUCAGUGAACUUAUGAAUAUAUGGUAAAUAUUAAACACAUCCCACUUGGAUGAGAAGAUAUGUGAGUCGAUGAGUAUAGCUAAGUCUAAAGUUAGAUGUGUUCCAUAAACAUAGUGUUUAUGGAGUUGGUGCAUAUUCACUUCUCAGUAAG
rnacentral:lncRNA from 1 species